rnacentral:rRNA from 1 species
GUAGGGUGCAAGCGUUAAUCGGAAUUACUGGGCGUAAAGCGUGCGCAGGCGGUUUUGUAAGUCUGUCGCGAAAGCCCCGGGCUUAACCUGGGAAUUGCGAUGGAGACUGCAAGGCUUGAAUCUGGCAGAGGGGGGUAGAAUUCCACGUGUAGCAGUGAAAUGCGUAGAGAUGUGGAGGAACACCGAUGGCGAAGGCAGCCCCCUGGGUCAAGAUUGACGCUCAUGCACGAAAGCGUGGGGGGGAGCAAACAGGAUUAGAUACCCUGGUAGUCCACGCCCUAAACCGAUGUCUACUAGUUGUCGGGUCUUAAUUGACUUGGUAACGCAGCUAACGCGUGAAGUAGACCGCCUGGGAGUACGGUCGCAAGAUUA